UCAGCUUGUGUGUUAGUGGAACGGUCUGGAAAGUCCGACGGUACAGGGUGAUAGUCCCGUACACCAAAAUGCACAGGCUGUGAACUCGAAGAGUAGGGCGGGACACGUGGUAUCCUGUCUGAAUAUGGGGGGACCAUCCUCCAAGGCUAAAUACUCCUGACUGACCGAUAGUGAACCAGUACCGUGAGGGAAAGGCGAAAAGAACCCCGGCGAGGGGAGUGAAAAAGAACCUGAAACCGUGUACGUACAAGCAGUGGGAGCACCUUCGGGUGUGACUGCGUACCUUUUGUAUAAUGGGUCAGCGACUUAUAUUCUGUAGCAAGGUUAACCGUAUAGGGGAGCCGCAGGGAAACCGAGUCUUAACUGGGCGUUAAGUUGCAGGGUAUAGACCCGAAACCCGGUGAUCUAGCCAUGGGCAGGUUGAAGGUUGGGUAACACUAACUGGAGGACCGAACCGACUAAUGUUGAAAAAUUAGCGGAUGACUUGUGGCUGGGGGUGAAAGGCCAAUCAAACCGGGAGAUAGCUGGUUCUCCCCGAAAGCUAUUUAGGUAGCGCCUCGUGAACUCAUCUUCGGGGGUAGAGCACUGUUUCGGCUAGGGGGUCAUCCCGACUUACCAACCCGAUGCAAACUACGAAUACCGAAGAAUGUUAUCACGGGAGACACACGGCGGGUGCUAACGUCCGUCGUGAAGAGGGAAACAACCCAGACCGCCAGCUAAGGUCCCAAAGUCAUGGUUAAGUGGGAAACGAUGUGGGAAGGCACAGACAGCCAGGAUGUUGGCUUAGAAGCAGCCAUCAUUUAAAGAAAGCGUAAUAGCUCACUGGUCGAGUCGGCCUGCGCGGAAGAUGUAACGGGGCUAAACCAUGCACCGAAGCUGCGGCAGCGACACUAUGUGUUGUUGGGUAGGGGAGCGUUCUGUAAGCCUGCGAAGGUGUGCUGUGAGGCAUGCUGGAGGUAUCAGAAGUGCGAAUGCUGACAUAAGUAACGAUAAAGCGGGUGAAAAGCCCGCUCGCCGGAAGACCAAGGGUUCCUGUCCAACGUUAAUCGGGGCAGGGUGAGUCGACCCCUAAGGCGAGGCCGAAAGGCGUAGUCGAUGGGAAACAGGUUAAUAUUCCUGUACUUGGUGUUACUGCGAAGGGGGGACGGAGAAGGCUAUGUUAGCCGGGCGACGGUUGUC
rnacentral:rRNA from 1 species